rnacentral:rRNA from 1 species
UACGAAGGGGGGCUAGCGUUGCUCGGAAUCACUGGGCGUAAAGCGCACGUAGGCGGAUUGUUAAGUUAGGGGGUGAAAUCCUGGAGCUCAACUCCAGAACUGCCUUUGAUACUGGCGAUCUCGAGUCCGGGAGAGGUGAGUGGAACUGCGAGUGUAGAGGUGAAAUUCGUAGAUAUUCGCAAGAACACCAGUGGCGAAGGCGGCUCACUGGCCCGGUACUGACGCUGAGGUGCGAAAGCGUGGGGAGCA